UGGGGAAUCUUCCGCAAUGGACGAAAGUCUGACGGAGCAACGCCGCGUGAGUGAUGACGGCCUUCGGGUUGUAAAGCUCUGUUAAUCGGGACGAAAGGUCCUCUUGCGAAUAGUUAGAGGAAUUGACGGUACCGGAAUAGAAAGCCACGGCUAACUACGUGCCAGCAGCCGCGGUAAUACGUAGGUGGCAAGCGUUGUCCGGAAUUAUUGGGCGUAAAGCGCGCGCAGGCGGAUCAGUUAGUCCGUCUUAAAAGUUCGGGGCUUAACCCCGUGAUGGGAUGGAAACUGCUGAUCUAGAGUAUCGGAGAGGAAAGUGGAAUUCCUAGUGUAGCGGUGAAAUGCGUAGAUAUUAGGAAGAACACCAGUGGCGAAGGCGACUUUCUGGACGAAAACUGACGCUGAGGCGCGAAAGCCAGGGGAGCGAACGGGAUUAGAUACCCCGGUAGUCCUGGCCGUAAACGAUGGGUACUAGGUGUAGGAGGUAUCGACCCCUUCUGUGCCGGAGUUAACGCAAUAAGUACCCCGCCUGGGGAGUACGACCGCAAGGUUG
rnacentral:rRNA from 1 species